AUAGGUUUUCACAUGGUUAAAUGGGAUACAACCACUUUUAAUAAAAAUUAAUCUAAAAUUGCACAAAUUCAAUCUUAUGCUAAGUUCUGUUCAGACAAACUAUGAGAGGGCUAAGAAAAUAUAUUCUUGCGGUUUGCUUGAAUUUGUAUUAUAAUUGUCAUUUUAAAUUUACAGAUAGCAUUCUAAAGACUAUUCCAAAGAAUGUUUAAACCUUAAGCAUCUUAGUCAUUUUAAACUUGCUUUCCAAUGACUAUCUUACAGUAACUAUAAAUUUUCUGAUUUCCUUGUCUUCCCAUUAUAGGGAGUUAAAUUAUUUUGAAUAUUUAUUUUACUUACCUAAAUCAGGCUUUAGGUCAGUAGGUAAGCUUAACUUCCUUGACAUCUUUGCUGAAAAAUAAAAGACAUUUUUAAAAUUCUGAAGAAUAUUUGAUUCAUACUAAUAUCAACUGAUUUUCAAGAUAGAAGUGAAUACUUUUAUUACUAAAUCUAGAUGCCGAGAUAAAUAAAAGAUGAGUAAUAUUAGGAGUGGAAAGUAAAUCCUUUCAACUUUUUAUUUUCUAAUUUUUUGAGACAGGGUCUCACUCAAUCGCCCAGGCUGAGUGCAGUGGUGUGACCAAGGCUCACUGCAGCCUCAAUCAUCUGGGCUCAAGUGAUCCUCCCACCUCAGCCUCCCAAGUAGCUGGAACUACAGGCAUGUAACCACUGUGCCUGGCUAUUCUGGAUGUUUGUAGAGAUGGGGUCUCACUAUGUUACCCAGGCUGGUCUCAAACUCCUGCCUUGGCCUCCCAAAGUGCUGGGAUUACAUGCGUGAGCCACCAUGCCUGGCCAACUUUUUAAAAGUUUUUACUUACUUGAUGUAAUAUCUUUUUGUACUUAAAAUUUUUACUUUAAGGGAGCCUUUUAAAUUCUAACUUUUAAUUAUUUCUUAGGCUCACAGGAAAGGGUGAGGCUUUUCUGAGUGAGAAACAGUAACUUCUCAGAAGAAAGGUGUUGCAGAUAAAGAGAAUAGAGGCCUAAGACUAAGUUUGGGUAUGUGAUAUAAAAUCUUUCCAGCUCAUCAUCUUCAUAGCUACUGGGUUCAUUCUUCUUUUUUUUAAAUUGAGGCGAAUUCUCACUCUGUUGCCAGGCUGAAAUGCAGUGGUGUGAUCUCGGUUCACUGCAGCCUCCGCCUCUCAGGGUCAAGGGAUUCUCCCGCCUCAGCCUCCUGAGUAGUUGGGAUUACACGUGCAAGCCACCACUGCCAGCUAAUUUUUGUAUUCUUAGUGGAGAUGGGGUUUCACUCCUGACCUCAAGUGAUCCACUCGCUUCGGCCUCCCGAAGUGCUGGGAUUACAGGAGUGACCCACCGUGCCUGGCUGGGUUCAUUACUUUUUAAUUUCUAGCUUAUAGGCCAAACUUAUAUCUAAUCAAAUUUAAGUAUUUGAUUACAUUAUACAAUAUCUGACUCAACCACUCCUUGAUAUAAGUUAACUCUUCUAUUUACAUUUUAGUGAAAAACAAAAUAAGAUCAUGCAUAAUCUAAAACUACGGUAUUUACAUAAGAUGCAAACCACAGUCAUUUUUCUGUAAUCUUGGAAAAAGAAUGAAUGUAUAAACUUACUGGAAUCCACUUUCCAUCCUCAAAAUCAGUUAUUGUCUUAAUCUAGAAAGUGAUUUAAAGUUAGGCGUUGUUCAACUAUAUCUAUUAUGUUAGUGGUAGUGCAUGCGUAAAAGAAAAGUGCUUCCUAUGUGAAAUUUUCAAAAAGCAUUUGUUAAUACAGGAAUGAAUAUAUUAGGUUAAAUUUUGGACUGUUAGGAGAUAUUUAAAGCACAGACCCUGCUAGUCCAUAAGGGCGCCAUGUAAACAAAGAGAAAUCCAGUCAUACAUGACUUCCACAUCUAAAAAAAUGACAAAUCCAGUGUUAGGAAAGAGGCAUUAGGCAGACUGGGAAGGAAUGGGGGUUGGAAGGGACAUCAAAUUUUCACUUCUCAGCUUCAUUAACUUAAUUAGUAUCCUUUAGCAAACAAGAAUGGGUUAAAUUUAUAAAAGUCACCCCAUUUUCACCAACGUAAAAAAUUUCAGUUAAAAAAGAAAAUGCAAUACAAAACUGAAAUGGCCAAAUAACAUCUGCAGUUAGUUGAUGUCACAUACAUGGUUGUUCUUGUGCUUGAAAUCCAAUACCCUUAAAAUUAGAAAAUAUUGUAUCUCUAAAACAGUCCUCCAAAAGGCAACAUUACACAUUGAAAAAUCCAGAGAUUUUCAUCACAUAUCAUAGGUGCAAUAUACCUAGACUGAUAAGUAGUAUCUAUACAAUGUGCAUGAUAUCAGAUGUAGAAAAUAAAUUUGGCACAGUCUAAAGGUAACUCUUUUAGAUAAAAAUCAUAUGAUAUGGAUGCCGCCUCUCUAGACAUCACUACUCUGAUUUGAUAAGUUAUUUUAAAUCCUUUGCUUCUCAAACUUGAAUGUGCACACCAGUCACAUGGAGAUCUUGUUAAAAUCCACACCCUGAUUCUGUCCUCUGGGGCUAGGGCUUAAGAGACAUUUCCAAUGAGCUCCCAGGAGCUGCUGAUGCUGCUGGUCUGUGGACCACACUUUUGAGUAGCAAGGUCCUUAGACAUUAAGCAACUUCAUGGUAGUAACCAAGACAAAACUAUUAAUCCCAGUACGUCUAUAUAAUUAGGCCCACCAAAAACAUUUUGUGAACAAGCCUCAAUAAACGUGGAAGAAUAAGUAUAGUGGUUAGGACAGGGUUUGGAAUCAGCUGAAACCUAGGUUCAAACCCACUUUAACUAACUACUACAUGUGUAACCUUAGUAAUCACUUUGCCUCUCUAAACUUCAAGUUUCAUCAUUUGUCAUAUGAGGAUAGAUAGCUGAGAGGAUUAUGUAAGAUGACAUAAGCAAAGAACUGAGCAUAAUACCUGGCACAUAGUAUGAUUUAAUAAAUGUUAUUAUUUAUUGUUAAUAAUAAGGUGAGAUAUAAACUUGUCAUAAAAUGUAAAACACUAUACAGAUGAGCUACUACUAUACUUGCGAAUAACCUAAUGUUCCUUCAUUCUAAUUCUAUGGCAAAAUUCUAAGAAACUAAAACAAAACCAUAAAAAAAAUUUAGCACAAAAGUAUAGAAUGCAAUGCACCACUAUAAUAAGCUCAACCUUUUAAGUUCAUUUCAAAAACUAAAUAUAUAUGGCUAAACAAAGAGUAAUAACUUCAGUGAUUUAUAAGAUAAAAGUAACAAAUUCAUCUCUGAAUACAUUAAACGUUAAAUACAUAUUUUAAUCAAUUAGGAACGUUUAUUUAACAUAUUUAUGCUUUCAUUCACCAUCUAUACAUACAUUGCUGCCAAAAAAUUUACCAGCAGAAAAUUUCCUUCUGAAUUUUCUAGGUGCAUGCUUUUGAUCUUCCUUAGGAUUUCUACUAAAAAAUUUUUAUAUAAGCUCAAGUAUUCUUAAAAAUUUAAGUUAACCUCUCCCAUAGAAUAAAAGUUUUUUUCUAGUACUAUUUUAAAUUUAUUAUGUAAAAAAUACUAAAUAUAACUAACCAGCUUUCCAAAUAAUUCUCAGUUAGUCUAGUUUCAACAUUUUUAUUGAGAGGUUAAAAUCACACACAAAAUGACUGGAAAGAUUGUUGAAUACAGUAAUUUUACUAUAAAUGUCAUAUAAAUUUUAAUAUAGUCAAUUUAUUAUUUUCUCCCAAAACAGUUUGCAAGUGGAUAUCCGCAACCUGGACACCAACUUUGACAGAUACUUCAGCCAUAUUGCUAUUAUAUUUGGAUAAAAUUUUAAGCAAUCUCCUUGAAUGCAGAACUUGAAAUGACAACAUUAGAAGAUUAACUUUUGUUACUUGUGUUAAUUCUAGCUAUCAAGUAAUAUUUAAAAAUACAGAGUUAAGGCCUUCCAUGAGUACAGAAAAACCUGUUACAUGUGGAGGUGUGAAUAUUCAUUUAUUAAAUAUCUACUGGGCAUAUGUCUGUAAUGUGCCAGAGGGCAGGGAUAUACUUCUGGCCUCCCAGGAGCUCACAUUAGAUGAAACAACUCCAAAAUGUAGUAUGUACUACUCACAAAGGUAGGCACAAGGUGUCAACUGGAGUACAUGGGAUUUAUACCCUAUCUCAGUCUGGAACACUUAUCUAAGACCAUGGGAUGUGGAGACAAAACCAGCGAGAGACUUUGUACAUUUUCACGAAACAAGAUGUUCCCCAAACAUUUCUUUUUUGGUUAACAGUAUAUUUUCUUUUGAUGUAAAACUUACAUACACAUGCAGAAAUUUUAAAGUAUAUUCACUGAGUUUUGACAAUAUAUACACCUCUGUAACUCAAACUGUUAGAACGAGCAAGAUAAAGAACAUUACCACUCACCCCAAAAAGGACAUGCAUGCUUCUUCCUAAUCAAUCCCUGUCCCAUUUCCGGGAAUAACCAAGGCUCUAAUGCUUUUUAAGUACAGAUCAGUUUUGCCUGUUCUACAACAAUAUACUGAUGAAAUCACAGUAUCAACUCUUGUGUAAGGUGUCUUAAACUCAGGAUGUUUUUUAGCUUCCUCCUGAAAAUAUUUUAAAGCUUGUAUUUUUUUUUCAAUGCACAGAAUGAAUGUAAAUAUGUAUCCUCUUAAUUAACAGAUUCAGAGGGCUAUAUCAGAUUAUAUUCUCUUACUGUAUCUUAUGUUAUAUAUGCUUUUUUAUCUUUGAGUUAUUUUGAAUUAUGUGUUUUCAUAGCAAAUUUGGACAAUAAAGAAACAGAAAAAAGGUCAGUAUUAAUGCCCAUAGUCAGAAGCAACAUUUUUGCAUAUUUCCUACCACUUUUAAAAGUCCACUUUUCUUUACAUAGUUGAGAUCAACUAUAUAAAGAAAUCAGUAUCCUGCUGCUUUUCACUAUUAAAACAAGCAUUUCUUAAUGUCAUUAACUGUCAGUAUAUUUUAAUGGUUGCAUAUUUAUAUGAACACUUAUGAAUCAGUUAGGCAUUUUCCAAUUUUUCAGUAUACACAGGAAUAAAAAUGUUGUACAUAAAUCUUUGCAUAUAUUUUGGAUUUCCUUAGGAUAGAGUUUUAUAGGAGGAAAUUAAUGCCAGUACUACUCCCCCAACUCCAAGGAGCUCUGAAGUGUGCUUUUAGUAUUUUUUCAAAGGUAUAUUAAGUAUAAUACUACAAAAACUGUUUAGAUGAAAACAAAGAAAAACAUAUGUAACUUUGGUAAAAUGUCAAAGUUUUGCUCACAACUAUAUCCCCUCAAAACUUAAGAAGUUGGUCCAUUUUGUUACUGUAUUGAGUGCAGCUGAGAAAUCUGAAAUGUUAACUAGUUAUCGCUUAUCUACCUCUGAAUCUUGUCUAUUUUGCAUGCAUGCCUUUCACAGGGUGGGGACAGGGAGUAGGAGGAAGGAGGUGAGGGAGAGGGAGGGAGGGAGGGAAAGGAUUUAAAUCCUAGGAUGUCUGUAAUGGGUUUCUUUCCCUUGCAUGAAGAGGCAUCUAUCUAAAUGCUUGUAAGUGGCAGGCAGAAGAACUGUGCAGUAUCUACCAAGGCUUUGUCUUGAGUGGCAAUGUUGACUUGGGUUGUGAUCACUUAUCCUUACCUAAUUCCUGCUGAAACUGAAUGUCCAUGUUUUUCUUUGAUUUCAUAGGUACUUUAGUGUAAAGCUGGGAAAACUUCAGAGAGCAAUUGUUAACCAGAUAUAAUGUCAUUACUAACAUUUAAACUAAAAUUUUAAACUGUUUUUGUAAAAAUAAUUCAUUCUUAUUAUAAAGAAUUCAAAUAAUACAGAAAAGUAUACAUUAAAAACAAUCACCCAACAUCCUGCUAACCAGAAAUAAUCAUUAAAUUAAUUGAACAUCCAUCUGAUAUCAUCCUUUGUAUAGAGAUAGCCACUAAUAAAUAUUUGCAGACACUUGUGAUACUAUAUGCUUAAAUACAAUAAACAUUUGCUUUUCCUUACAUCUAACUAAAGUGAAGCUAAAGGAACUACUAUAUUUCAAACUUUUUUUUAUUACAAGAUGUAUCUUUUCUUAAAAGCUCCAAGGACAGGAAAAUACACUGUGUAAAACAUUCAGAGGUUGAAAUAUUUCUGUAACUAUUAGACAGUAAAUAUUGGCUCUCAGCUACGAAAGAUCAGGAAAGUAGCCCUCUUUUCCUUUUAUGAUCAAACAUUCCUUCUUCUUGAUUUGUAUUAGUUAUAUUAUUUUCACAUUUAUAAGUUUUACAACUGGUAUAUUAUAAUCACAAUUUGCACAAAGGUUUAGUGUAGCUUUUAAGUUUAAAUGGAUUUAAAGAUCAACAUCAGUCUUCCUACCAUGGCUUUCCAUCUCUUGGGUUAUUUUGCUGUAGUACUUAAUUGUGGAACUUUCAUCAUGAGGUAGUUCUUAAAAAUGACUGCUGUAUUCCUUGGCUUCUUUCAUGGUUAGAAAUGUCUGCCUAUUGUCUUCAUACUUGAAAACUGUUCACCUUCAUCCUUGAAAACUCUUUACCUCUAUUAUUUAUGUAUUAUUUCAUUGAUAUCUACUUUGUGCUAUUUUAUUCCUUCUAUUAACUUGGCGUUUAAUUUGCCCUUCUUUUUCUAACUUAAGACAAAGACUUGAGAUCAUUGGUUUAAAACAGUUCCAAUGCAAGCAUUUAAAAUAUACAGUUCUCAGGACCUAGUUUGAAUGUCCAGAGACUUCUAGAACUUCUUGGAGCAGUUCCUCCUCUCUAGCAAAUAUUCCAGUCAUGCCAGCAACCCAGAAUUCCACUCUCUGCCUCCUUAGGUUCUGAUACUGCAGCUCCACUUGUGCUGCAACGGGAACGUGCUCUGUCGCAGAAAGCUGAGCAGAAAGGUGGGAGAAACGUGGGGCUCACCUCAUGUAUCUCCAUUUUCUCAAGGAUGACAGUCCUGGAAAGCCUGCUGUUCAAUGCCUGGAAAUACUAAGUUUGUAUCUUUUGACCAAUUUUUAUAGUUGUUUUUAGUGGGUGGCUAAGUCCCAAACCUAAGGCCUAAAGUUGAACUUCUGGCUAAAAGUUUGUAUUUUUUUUUUUGAGGAGACUCACCCUGUCACCCACACUGGAGUGAAGUGGUGCAAUCUUGGCUCACUGCAACCUCCGCCGCCUGGGUUCGAGCAAUUCUCCUGCCUCAGCCUCCUCAGUAGCUGGGAUUACAGGCGCCCGCCACCAUGCCUGGCUAAUUUUUUUGUACUUUUAUGAGGGACGGGGUUUACCAUGUUGGCCAGGCUGGUCUCGAACUCUUGACCUCAAGUGAUCCACCCACCUCGGCCUCCCAAAGUGCUAGGAUUACAGGCAUGAGCCACUGCGCCUGGCCGUGUAUCUUUCAAUUUUUAUGACUUCUGGGGAAUAUACUCGCUUCAGGUCUGUUUAGCCAACCUCCUUGAUGGCAAGACCACUACAAGAAGUAGACCCAUCUCUGGAGAACCUCUAGUCAGUCGGUCCUCCUGGCUUGUACUCUGUACACUGGUAUAACUUUGUGAUGAUGGGGUUGUAGACUUUGUCCAACAAUUUUAUGAUGUUCAUAUUUCUAAUUCUCAGGAGUCCCAGAAUCACUUACGAAACUCAUUUACCCAGCUAGCUCGUUUCACUGUACUUAUCAAGAAACUUCUGUUCAUGUCUUGAAGUUACUCAUCUUCUAUUGUGACCUUCAAACUGAAAGCAUGCAAUCUGGAUGAGUUAUUGAAAGACACAUUGUUUCUGUUUUCUUCUUCCACUGUGUAUUCUUCAACCCUUGCCUCUGACAGAAGGUUUCUUCAGUCUGAGGAAAACUAGUCUCAGAGAGUGUAGGCAGGUUGUUAAGGUGGGUCAUUGCUCUCUUCUUAUAAACCUGAAUAAGGACAUCAAACUGUCUGGUUGUAUAAACAGUAAAGAGCUGCAUUUGUUUAGUAGGAAUAACGAAGUUAUACCUGAUCACAAUAAUUAUGUCUGCAAUGCAAAUUUCAAUACCAACAAAAGAUGUAUGAUGUCCAAGAGAAGCAAAUUAAACAGAUGUUUUGUAAUUUCCCUUUAGUUUUUCUACCCACUGUGUCCACAUCUUUUUUCUAAACAAGCAUUCUUGAAAGAAAAACAGAACUAUAACUUCACUUUUUAGAAUCUGAAAUUUAUAGUAAAAAAUAACGUAAAGGUAAAAGGUAAAAAGAACUAUGACUGAUGAAGCUGUCAUAAAAGCAAGUUGAUUUUUGUUUAUACCGAGAGUUUCAACAAUUAGAAUAAAAUGACAAUAUUACUUUUGUCACCACAGGCAGAGAUCCAACACUACUCUCUUGAAAGGGAUAAUGUUGGAAUGUAUUUGUGUUAAAUAAAACAACUGAGAUAGUAAAGGAAUUAAAACUCAAGUUUGCAGGAUAUAGUAAGGAAUCCAAGAAGAAAAGUGGAACCAAGAAGUAGAAACUCUCUUGUCAUGUAUCGUAUGUAUUUUAGUAGCCAUUAGAACUAAUAAUACCAAUGUCUAUCUCCCAUGCUAAAACAUCCCAGGAGUUCAGAAACAGAAUUUAUCUUGUAAACGCUCUAUAUAUGUCUGUUUCCAGCAUUUAAUGUGUGUUUAAUAAACACAAUGAAUAAAUAAUUGCAAUGAAUAAAUGAACCAAAACUGUCAUUGGAAUUUUACUUAUAUAGAAUGAUGAAUUUCUUCACAAAUGAAAAGAAAUAAAGUGAAAAAGAGGGCAAAUUAAAUACAGACCUGUUAAUCAAAAAGACGACUUCUGAAAAUACCCAUAGAAUCUAUAUCUAUUACCUGAAAUAGAGGUAAAUCUUUAAAGAUAUGAGUACUUGUCUAGUAAACACUUGACUAUACCAAGUUCUUUUCAUUCUUGAACUCCCAGAGCUUUUGUCUUCAAUUUUUUUCCUGACCCAUCUGCUUUCCAAGCAUUCAUAAAACUUAAUGUCUAAAUAACAUCAUAAUUAAACUCUUUGCAACAUCUCAAAGAGAAUUCUGUACCGAAUACAAGGUAUUACAUAAACCUAACACAGUGUUACGGAAUGAAUUGUAUCCUUGCAAAAUUCAUAUAUAGAAGCCCUAAGCCCCAGUUCCUCUACUAUACUAGGAGACAGGCCUUUAAAGAAGUGAUUAAGUUAAAAUGAUGCCCUUAGGCUGAGCCCUAAUCCAAUUUGAUUGGUUCUUAUAAGAAGAAGAAAUGUGGAUACACAGAUACCAGGGUUGUACUCUGCACAGAAACCCAUGUGGGCAUACAAUGAGAAUGCAGCUGUCUGCAAGCCAAGGAGAGAGGCAUCAGAAGAAAUCAAACCCACUGACACCUUGAUCUUGGACUUCUAACCUCCCGAAUUGUUUAAGCCUCCCAGUCUGUGGUAUUUUGUGGUGGCUGUCCUAACAAACUAAUAAAAUAAGUAAUGACAGAACAUAAAUUGCCACAUUUAUAGUUUUGUUCAAAUAAUAGUUGACAAAGGUUUAUUUCAGUAAUGUGACUAACUCAGACUAAUUUUCUUUAUGCUAGGAAGCAAACUACAGUUUAUUUCUAGAAAGGUCAUUGCAUAUCCUUUUAAUGUAAAAAAAGACAGUUCAAUAGAGGGAUAAGUACACAUACAGUAAGUACAGGAAUAUGAAACACAGACUUUCCAGCACAUUUUAUUAAGAAAUUUGACAGAAAAUACAUUCAAAAAUAAAAUUUAAAUUUAAAUAUACAAUAUGCCAAUACUUUCCAAUUUUUAUUCAUUCUAAAAAAGAAAAAGAAUUUGUUAGUACUCAGACUCAUAUAAUAAUUUUGAAGUAUCUGCCUAUAAAAUUUAGUUCUUGACCAAUUAAGGGCAAGAAAUAAUUUUCUUUCAAAAUAGAAAAUAUUAAAAUCACCUGUAAAAAUGGUAUCACUGUACACUACUAAUCAUCCCUUUCAAACUGAGCAUCUCCUUUCAAUAGCCAUCUUGUGGAUUGAAUAUAAAAGCUAAAUUCUACAAAUUCAAUAGCCACGUUUCAGGUUGAAUACUGGGGAAUGUAAAGUAGAAAUACUAGCACUAUUUUGAGUUUUACAAUGAAUAAAAUAAUUUGAUAACUUAAAAUACGACUUAAUAUACACUUUUUCAUUCAUAUGGCAACAGAUCUAAAUGAACCUUUGUGAAUUUAUUUUUUAACUUGUAGAUACAAAAGAAUUGAGAAGACACACAAGAAAAAGCAAUCACAUAAGAAAGCAAAAGCAGAUAGUUGAGUAUGAAGUGUGAAACAUGCUAUACAUAGUAAAACAAGACUCAAGAAGCCUGGAUUCCAGUCCUAAGUCACUACCAUGGGGCAUUACUUUGGAUGUGUCACUUAACUUCUCUGACAUUCAAUUUCUUUUCUUGAAAAAUAAAGGUGUUAGAACUGCUUUAAAAUUAUGUGAGUUAAUGAGUUAGUGAUGUAGAAUAAAACAACAAAGAGAAGACUUUAGUUAUAUUGGAACACUUUAAAAAAGGAAUCACUGAGAUUCAUGUGUAAGAGAACUAAUAAAAACAGCACUUGAAAGAACAUUAUUGUCAUUUAAACUGAAUUCAAAAAUUAUUCCAGUUUUUGCUAAGUAAGUUAACCCUUACCUAAAUAAUUAUGUUAACUCAGAAUUGGAGAGAUAAAAGUAACCUUGGAAACAUAAUUUUCCCUCCAUUAAUAAAUACCACAUAAAGAAUACCUGGUAUAGUGUCUAGAAUUUAGGAGGUGCCCAAUAAAUGAAGCUAUUAUUUCUACUUGUUUUCGGCAAAGCACUCAUUUAAGUAACCAUAAUUUCGAGUCAUUAUUUUUUAUCCUUGGUAUUAUUUUCCCCUCACAACUUCAUGUAACCAGAAGGAAUUUGGUAAUCAUUCCUUCCAUAAGAAAAUUAGUAAUAAAACUGGAUAUAGGCCAGGUCACAGACUAUGGGUUCCAGCUAGAAAUCUACUUUUAGCAUGAAACAAAACCAUAAUGAAAUAGAAUAAUCUUUAGAAAAGGUUAAUCAUGUAGUUUCAAAUUUAUCAAACAAUGCUAGCAUGUAGGCUGUAUUUUAUUCAUAAGGAUAUCAUGAAAAAUUUGAUUCAUACAUUAACCAAGAUAUGCAUUGUAGGACUAUUUUAUAUAAAUUAAAAAUAACAAAAAGCUUUGUGAAACUCUAUACUUUCAAAUUUUUGUAAAACAAAUAACAAGUAAAUAAAAAAUUGAUAACCUAUCUUAUUUUCUAAGUGAUUUAUAGCAGUACAGAAAAACUAUGGAUUUUGAAAAUGUUGGUAAUCAAGAUUUUACUAAUAAAGAUUUAUAAGGUAUACACAGGCAAAACAAAUUACCAUAUGCAUACAUACUACAUGCAUGAAGCUUUCUUUGUGGAUGCUGCAAUUACAUUAUAUUCUGUUAUGUUUUUGCUGUCAAACUCACAAGACUAAAACUAUUUUUUUAUAGGCUGCUCUUCUUAUGCAAGAUCAAGGUCAUUGUCAGGAUCAUUCAUCUGAUUUAGUUUUCAAUCAGGAAAUAAACUAUGAAGCUAGGCUUUGGGUAGAUGGGCUAGGGUACUCCAGAGUUUGCUCUAGCUAUCCUUCCUUUGAGUCUAGUCUUUGAGGAAGGUAGACUUCCAGACACUAUAUUAUACUUGAGUGAUGGGUACCAAGAUGGCAUCCAUGAUCUGGCUCUAACACAGAACUUAAUCUUUUUUUUCCAGAUUAUUGUGUAGAUAGAACAGGGCCAUAACCAAAUUAUCUGGUUAUUAAUCACACCAUGAAUUUGCUUUUGAAUCCUUUAGUUUUCUGUAAAUUGUAUUAAGAGAUAACAUAGCACAGUGUUUAAGAGGACAGACCAUGGAGUGGGGCUACCUGGGUGUAAAUCCUGCUCUCAUUUAUUAGCUGUGUACCAACAAAUACAUUACUUAUAUUCAGUUUCCUUAUCUGUAAAACAGGGAAACAGUAGUAACUAACCCGCUGGGAUUAUUGUGUGGAUUGAGAAAAAUUAUUUAUAAAAAGCUGGCACAUGCCAGAAAAAUUAUAAGAUAAAGGCUAAAUACAUUCAAAAAGCUUAUCAUUAUAGUCUCAGCUACCUCAGCUGUACUGUCAGGCAGUUAAAAAAAAAAGGUAGGGUGGUUGAUUUCCCAUGCUUGGGUUAACCAUUAAAUUGUGACUGCCAUCCUGUACCACCCACCCACAACACACCCACACACACCCACACACACAAACUGACACCAGCAGCAGUUACUCUCGAAGAACAGGUAAAACUCAGGGGCAAACUUUCAGGGCCAAGCUAUUUACUCACCUUCCACACAAGGUGGCUCUUUUACUAGUGCAACCCUGGAGGUACUAAUUCUUAUGUUUUCCCAGCCACUGUAUAACUACCUAUAAGUUGAAGCUAUAAAUGCUUGUAUAUUGAGGAAGAAGAGGUGGUAAGUUCAUGAGGUUCAGGAUACUUCAUAGCAGGUACCAGAUCGGAUGAUACGGUGAGUUCAGAAUGCUCAAGAAGUCCUAAUACUUUUGACACCACAGCUUCAUGCACAAAAUACCAGUCUUGACAGGGAGGUCCUCAGAAGAUCUAUGAGUUUUUUUCCAAUGUUUCAUUGACAUUUUAUGUUUUUCAAUAGCAUAUUUUAUGCUAAUUCUUAUAACAAAACUAAAUACUAAUGUAGGGAGAUAAACUAAUGUGUUAGUUUUUCAAAUGCAAAAAAACUUUACAGUCUAAAAUGGGGCAGUCUCCCUUUGAAAGAAGAAAAAAAACGUGACACUAACUUUCCUUCUGUAUACCCAAAUCUUGUGAUUUAAAAAAACACACUGAAAGGUUCAAACAAAGCCAAAGGAUAUAACAAUGCUUCCUGAGGUUUAAAAAUAAUUAUGCAUAACUGUACUACCAAAAUUUUGAAAAGCUGAAUGAAGUUAACAUAACAUGCUUUCCCCAAAAUAUAUAACUACAGAAACUGGAGUGACAAAAAGUAAAACUCACCAAUAAGAUAAAAAUAAAGCAAGAAUGUCAUCAAAGAACUAUCCUUCCAAUAACAUUAUCAACACUGAUAAAUUUUCUAAUGUAGUCUUUCAAAUAGUCAAGCUCAAGUAUUACAUGUUACAUAUUCUAUUUAAAACAAGAAAAAAUGGGAAGGUAGUCAGUACAUUUAAUAAAUAGAACCCCAGCACAAAAUAUAAGACAGAAAAAUUGUUUUUAAAAAUUUAAUUAUGUACAAAGUCCCUUUCAUGCAAGGUAAAAUCCCUAGGUAAUUUAAUUCUUAAAGUUGUUUAGUAAAAUGUAAGUAGGAAAAUCUUUUCUUUUUGCAUAAUAUGACAACAAAAGAACCUCUAAUGUACUAUUAAGAUAGAAUACACAAUAAAUGAAAUUGGUUAAAGACUAUUGUGCCAUAGUGCUAGUACAUAAUUACAGUGAUUUAACUAUUACCAAAAGAGUCACUAAAACCCCACAAAUACAAAGAUAAAUAAUUGAUUCUCCAUAAAUGAAGAGCCCUUUGCCCAAGAAUAAACCACCUUAUUUAAAAAAUGACAAGGGGCUAACAGUCAGCCACCGUUAAUAUGACUAAACAGGGUUCAAUUUAUAAAAUACAGACAACAUGGAUGUUACUUCUAAGAAUUUUUGAAAAUUUAAGCAUAUCUAAAACAUUAUCAGUUGAGAAAAAGUAAAACUAUUCCAUCUGCCUAGAAAUUCCUCUAAUUUGACUGAAUUCAAAGAAUAUGUGAUAGAGGUUUUGGGAGGAAAUAAUACAAUAACUGUAUGAUAAAAAUUUAGAAUUUAAAUCAAAGAUCAAAUUUAUCCUCUUUUUCUAAAAGUGUUUUUCAAGACUUUAAAAAUCUUUGGAGAACAUCUGAACUUUCGUGACCUUGAAACCCUAAUUUGAUUAUGUCCUCAAAGUUUGAUUAUAUAUUUUGUUCCCUAAUUUUAAACUUUGAGAACUUUGGACUGAGCAAUUCAUCUCAACAUAUAUUCACAAAAACAAUCACAAGAAGCAAUGCAUUUUUUACUUGCGGUGAGAGAGUAGGGGCAGUCCUAGAAAAUUCCUAUUUAACUUUGCCAAAGGCGGUACAGAUUAUAGACUAAAAGAGUCAAUCUUUUAGAAAACCAUUUCCUUGAAAUACGGGGCCUUGAAAAUAUGAGAGAGACAGAAUAAAGGUAGAAAAAACACAAAUAAAACUAUAAAGAAACCAUUGCUUCAAAACUUCGGAGUAUAAAAUUGUGUUACUUACGGCAUAAAUUGAACCCUGCUUUAUUUUAAAGUAAAGCAAAAAUAAAAUUAACAGAGAAAUUCACACUGUAAGUCAGAGAAAGAACUGCAACCCAAUUGAACUGAUUUUUAAUAAUUAUUGCCCCAAUGAGUUUAGAAGAGACACAGCCCAAGAGAUUAUUUUUUUAGCAUAGGAACAACAAAUUUACACAAAAAUGCAAUGCACUGGAUAAUUCUGGUGUUGGGUUAGCACUGCAUAUAGCAAGGAUUAGAAACAAAAUAGAAAUUUCUAUUUCCUACCUAUAUCAUUGGCUACCAUCUUGGAAAACUUUCUGCUUUUGGUCUUCACUGAAAACAAUAUUUUGAUAUAAAAUGUCAAAAUCUAGUCAAAGUAAACUAAAUAAAUUAAACAUAAAAGAAAAUACUUUAAAAUCAAGAUACUAUACCCUUUUCUAUAAAAUUAUUCAUUUUUUGUUCAUCAUCUGAAUUGUGUGGUGAUGAAGAACCUACACAAAUGAAGACAACGGAAGGAAUAGGUAGAUGGUCAGUCAUAAAUACUGAGCUGUAACAAGAAAAAUGUACAAAUAAAAAAUCUGGUAACUUUCAAAACAAGUUAUCAUGUUAGUGACCACAAGAAGAGGCCAUGUAUAAGUAAAUAACAGUUCUUAUACUAUUACAGUAUAGUAAUAAGUAGUGCAAUAUCUUUCAUGGUAGACCCUGGUAUAUAUAAAUAUUAACUCUACAACAAUUUGGCAAAAUCUUGGUAUAUUAGAUGUUAGAAAAUAUAUUAAAAAAAACUAUAAAUAGUGUUUAACUGUUUCUUCGAAAAAAUCUGGAAUUCUUGAUAGUAUUAACUGAAUAAGGUUUCUCUAGCAGAACCAAGAUCUUGUACUAUAAAUUUGCUGGUAAAACUUGUUAUUUUAGAGUUAGACUGACAGUUUAAAACUAUAUAUUCAUUCUACUACAUAUCAUAGAAAUCUUUAAAAUGUACAAUAAGGGAUCUUUAAAAUAGUGAAGAUAAUACUUAUAUUUGUAGAUAUGUUCAAAUGUCUACCUAAAUUUAUGGAGGUAAGAAAUAUUUAAUUUUAUUUUGGCUGUGACUCCCAAUAUUAUCAUAUAAUCUUACCUAACAUUUCUUUAAGAUUUUUUGGGUAAUUUUUUCCUUAAAAACUUCUAAUUUCUCAUAGUAUUUCUUUAAUUUAUAACAUAUCUUUUAUUAUAAAUGUGAUCUCAAGUAGUAUUUUGGUUGAUCACGUUUGGACAUCUCUUCUUUAAAGGCACAUCUCAAUACCUCAUCCAUUCAAUUUUUCAGUCUCCUCAGCUAUAAAUCACUUCUCCUUUGAGUUCCCUUAAUGUUUUAUCUAUAUAUUUCUCAUAUGAUGCUAACCACUUAAUACCUUAUUAUUUUAGAUUUAUGCACAUAUGACCUUCCUCACUGGAAUGAACUUCCAAAAGGCAGGGCCCACAUUUGAUUCAUUUUUGUAUCCCUUUUGUGAUUAGUGGAGUGCGUUACAUGUAGAAUUCUCUAAGUAUCUGCUGAAUUCAUAAAGCUUUUCUGCCAGAGGCAAAUACCUACGAUGUAAUUGGAAGUAGAUAAAAGGUUUUCUUUCUCUGCUUUAAAAAUAUCCCAGUAAAAGCACUGAAUCUUAAUGAAUCAGGUCAAAAUUUGACACCACAUAUAACACUCUCCAAUAAAAUUGUACUUCUCUCCCUUGGUCAAGUGGUGAAUGUCCUUGACAGCUUUUCUCUGACCGAGUAAAACCUGCCAGCAUUGGCAGAACCAUUACUUUUAUAGUGGUCUUAGAAGGUUACUUUUUUAAAGUCCAUGUUAUUUCUGUUAAACAUCAUUUACAGAUCCUCAUAAAUCCCACUUCAAAAAAUAUCACACACGUAACACUGAGCUCAGUAACAUUUCCAGGAACAGAAAUACAUAUAGUUGUUUUUAAUGUAAUUCUGAAUUUAAUUCUAAAUAAUGGUUAUAUGUUAUAUAUAUUUUAAAAUAUCACUAUCUCUACAAAAUAGCCACAUGAAUGUACAAAAAUGUAUUAUUGAUACUAAUUUUGAUAUAUUUCAUAUCAAAGAAAUAGCAGGAUAACAUAUCUAUACAUAAUAAAAUCAGAAAAAUAUUUCAUAUUUUCAAAUACAAGAAGGCAACAUAGGCUGUAAUGUAAACAAAACAAGGAGGUUUAUUUUUCUUCUAACUAAAAAUACUUACUACUGAUUGUUAUAACUUCUGUGACAGCUCAUGCAAAAGCUCCAAAAUAGUUUUCUGCUUAUCCUAUUUGAAUAUAUUUACUAAAUUUCUACAAUAAAACACAGAUAAUAUCUACAGCUUAUUGUUUUUUCAUGAUUUCAUUUAAAUCAUGAAUGCACUUGAAGGCACCAUUUACAUCAUGGUAUGUGUGGCCCUGGGUUUUCUUCAGCUUGAAAUAACCUAACAGUUUAAAAAUUUAUUUUAACAUGACUUCUUGUGUGUGUGUGUGUGUGUGUGUCUAUGUAUGUGUAUAUAUAUAUAUCUUUGCAUGCAGUACUAAAAAAAUUCCAAUAAUACUAAAGUGUUCAGUGAAGCAAUAUAAGUUCUUUGAUGUAAGGAUCAAAUGAAAGUCUUUCCCUUCAUUCGUUCAGGAUGCAUAUGUUCAGUAGGCAGAAUUAACUUUCUCUAUUGGGGGACCACUGGUUUACAUAAAAAUAAAUGAAAAGGGCAAACUAUAUGCAUUACAUGGAUUUUUCUCAUGAUGAUUUCUGAAGAUAGCUUUGAUUUUAAUUAACUAAACAGUUGAGAUCACAAAUCUUGAUUAUGAGAUUUAAAAGGUUUUCUAAAAAGUUUCCCUUCAUAUAUGAAUUAUUUUAAAUUAACUUACUGGUUUUGAUAAAGGCAUAUGGCUACUUUAUAUUUCUAUAUUGGUCUUCCACUUAAUAUUUACAAGAGACUCAUUUUAACUCCCAAUCCACUUUAUACAUUUCUUCUUUUCCCAUAAAUACCAACUUAUUUUAUAUUAGCUAUAUCGGUUUUAAUAAUCUAUAAUGCAUCACUCAACUAUUUUACCUCUUUAUAUCAUUCUCAUUGUGGAAACUAUUUGAGGCUUGUAAUUUAAUUACUAAUUUUUAUGUUUUUUAAAACAUGAUCCCCUUGUGGUUCUUUUGAUUCACUUCAAAUUCAUCCCAUCUGUUAUUCUUUUUUGACCACCGUGAAGUAGUAGAAUUUGCAUGUGUUGGCCAAAGGGGUAAUAAUAAAUUAUUUCUUUAUUUUCCUAUUAGAAUGUUAACAGGAAUGAAGGUUAAAAAACGUUACAAAUAUACAGAGUAAGACAAUUAACCCAUAAUAGAUGGCAAAAAUUACUAUUAACAAUUUUUACAUGGACAAGUUGAGAAAGACACACACAAGCUAUAAAAAUGCAGUGUCAAAAUUAUUUAUAUUAAAAUAGUUUUCCAGAAUCUCACUCUAGUUUCUACUGUAAUGCUCUUACUAGUUGUGCAUAACUGCUAUCUCCUGCUAUCUGAAACAACUAUUCCCUAUUAAAGUUUGACUUUUUGUAAAAAAAACAGUAUUUCCUGAUAUGGAGAAACCGACAUAAUGUCUCAGAGAAUUCCUAUGUUUUUCAGAAUAUAAUCAAAGCCUAAACAAAGGUUUCUAUAUCUAAUGAUAAGAAUACAUGAUUUAUCAAUGAUUUUUUGAAGUCGCAAUUUUUACUUUGCAUUUCAAACAUGCUGAGAUAGAAACAAUGAAAUAUCUAAGGACAUAUGAACUUCUCUAUUACUUUCCUUUUCACAUGGACCAAAGAGCAAAAUAUAUUUGAAAAUGCUGAACCAUGUUUGAGUUUCUCUGUUUUGAGAAUUUACAGGGUUUUUAACCUUUAUUUACUUUUUCUUUUUUUCUUUUUUUUUUGAGACGUAGU
rnacentral:lncRNA from 10 species